AUACCUCAUACUUCGGAUUCUCCAUGCUGCUGCUGCUGGUGAUGCUGUUUUAUUGGAGUUCUCCAGUACAUCAUUGCAUGUCUAAGAGAUUGACCCUUUUAUGUCUGCAGAAGAAGAGGAUCCUCUUCCACAGAGUCUGCCAUGUUUCUAGCUCAGAACAGACACACCA